AACACAACACAUCCCGUUCCCGGGGAGGUGGCUUUUGGGCAGAGGGAGAAGAAUGAAGAUAGUGACGUACAACGUCAAUGGCCUCAGGCAACGCAUCUCCCAGUUUGGCUCUCUCCUCAAAUUGCUUGAUUCUUUCGAUGCCGAUAUCAUUUGCUUUCAGGAAACCAAAUUGAGAAGACAGGAGCUUACUUCGGAUUUAGCCAUGGCCGAUGGCUAUGAAUCCUUCUUUUCCUGCACUCGCACGAAUGACAAGGGCCGCACUGGCUACUCCGGUGUUUCUACUUUUUGUCGUGUAAAGUCCGCAUUUUCGAGUAACGAAGUGGCAUUGCCGGUUGCAGCGGAGGAAGGUUUCACUGGGCUUAUGAAUAUGUCUAGAAAUGGAAAAGACGAAAUGCCGGCAGUAGCGCAAGACCUUGAGGAGUUUGAUAAAGAUGAGCUCCUCAAGGUUGAUGGUGAGGGCAGGUGUAUCAUCACUGAUCAUAGUCAUUUUGUUCUUUUCAAUAUAUAUGGACCUCGAGCAGAAAGUGAUGAUUCGGAGAGGAUACAGUUUAAGCUCAUGUUCUUCAAGAUACUACAGAAAAGAUGGGAGAGUCUUCUGCACAAGAGAAGGAGGAUAUUUGUUGUUGGUGAUCUCAACAUUGCGCCCACUGCCAUGGAUCGUUGCGAUGCUGGUCCAGAUUUUGAGAACAAUGAGUAAGCUGUUGGCUGCUUUCUAUGCCGUGCUUGUGCCUUUAGACUAUUUGGAUCCUCUUACUGUUCUCUGUAAUUUUAUAGGUUCAGAAGAUGGUUUAGAUCUAUGCUAGUUGAGUCUGGAGGCCUCUUUUUUGAUGUUUUCAGAGCAAAACAUCCUGACAGGUUUGAAAUUUAAGCCUAAUAUGCAUUAGGUUCUUGUUGAUGGACAAAUGAUUAAUUGUUUUGUUAUGGAAUUUUUCAAAAUCAGGAUUUUAGAGUUGAUUUUUGCUUGGCCAGCCAAAAAGAGAUUUGGAAUUCUAAUUAUGUGGCGUAUCUCACUAUCUGUGUUUUAGGAAUCUUUUGUCCUUAAAAUACCCUUAAACAAUCUCAAAAAAAAUCUGUUAUUCAAUUUAUAUAUAUUUUCAAUAGACAAAUUAUCAUUUGUGUCAUUGCAAUUUUCUCAAUGUGCAUGUGGCUACCUAUUUUGUUUAGUUUGUAAUGUAUCCUCUGAUAUUUGAAAGCUAAGCUCUCACUCAAUAGUAUAUUUCAUUCCUCACAUAGUUGCAUCGUCUUUCUAUCACUACUAUUUUGUUUUCCAAGGUUUCUUGUGUUGAAACCUAGUUUUUCUCUUAUGAAUUAUUCAACAGAAGAGAAGCUUACACAUGCUGGCCAUCAAACACUGGAGCUGAACAAUUUAAUUAUGGGACUAGAAUUGACCACAUUCUUUGUGCUGGGUCAUGCUUGCAUCAAGACCAUGACUUGCGAGGUCAUAACUUUGUUACUUGCCAUGUCAAGGAGUGCAACAUAUUGACAGAGUAUAAACGCUGGAAACCUGGAAAUACACUGAGGUGGAAGGGUGGGUGGGGCAUCAAACUGGAAGGUUCUGAUCAUGCUCCAGUUUAUACAAGUUUGGUAGAAAUCCCUGUUGUUCCCCAACAUGGCACCCCUUCUUUGUCUGCUAGAUAUCUCCCAAUGAUUCAUGGUCUCCAGCAGACCCUUGUGUCUGUUCUAAUGAAAAGAAAAGCGGCUACACAAGUUCAAUCUUGCAGCAUAUCAACUUCAUUCUCAGAAGGAAAUGUUUCUAUAGAGAAAUGCAGUGAAAGCAUGAAAGGAUCUUUCAAUAGAUGCAGCAUACCUGGCCCAACCACAAAUGACUCUUUGAAUGAAGACUCUGAAGGUGCCAUUUUGAAAACAGGCAAGCAAUCCAAGGAUUUCAUUGAUGAGACUUGCCCCAACACCACUAUUGUUUUGUGCAGUGGCAAUGAUAAUUCUGUGCCUGAGGAGAAAACAAAGAAAAAAGCAAGAAAAAGUCAAUGGUCCCAGCUCUCCCUGAAGUCAUUUUUCCAGAAAAGUCCGAACCUCAGCAGUAGUUCUGAAAACUCUUCAAUGGAUAUUUCGCUUAGUCAGGCAGAUGUGGCCAACUCUAAUAGUCACCCAAAUGAAACUGUUGCUCAGGAUGACCAAAUCAGCAGUCCCAAGCAUAAUGAAGCAAAUACGGACACUCAGGAUCAGAAUGAAUUAAAUGAUGGCCCUUCAGAGAAAGAGAGAAACAAUGUUGCUUUACUGGAGUGGCAAAGGAUACAACAACUCAUGCAGAAUAGCAUGCCUCUUUGCAAGGGCCAUAAGGAACCAUGUGUUGCUCGGAUAGUGAAGAAACCGGGUCCUACUUUUGGCCGCAGAUUUUAUGUCUGUGCUCGAGCUG
rnacentral:misc_RNA from 1 species